GUGGUAGGGGAGCGUUCUGUAAGCCGAUGAAGGUGUAUUGAGAAGCAUGCUGGAGGUAUCAGAAGUGCGAAUGCUGACGUGAGUAACGACAAAACGGGUGAAAAACCCGUUCGCCGAAAGACCAAGGGUUCCAGUCCAACGUUAAUCGGGGCUGGGUGAGUCGACCCCUAAGGCGAGGCCGAAAGGCGUAGUCGAUGGGAAAAUGGUUAAUAUUCCAUUACUUCUGUGUAAUGCGAUGAGAGGACGGAGAAGGCUAAAUCAGCCUGGCGUUGGUUGUCCAGGUGAAAGGAUGUAGGCAUGUAUCUUAGGCAAAUCCGGGGUACUCUAUGCUGAGAUCUGAUAGCAAGCUGUACUUGUACAGCGAAGUGGUUGAUGCCAUGCUUCCAGGAAAAGUCUCUAAGCUUCAGUUACACAGGAAUCGUACCCGAAACCGACACAGGUGGUCAGGUCGAGUAGACCAAGGCGCUUGAGAGAACUCUGCUGAAGGAACUAGGCAAAAUGGUACCGUAACUUCGGGAGAAGGUACGCUGUUGUUGGUGAUGGAACUCGCUUCCUGAGCUGACGACAGCCGCAGAAACCAGGCCGCUGCAACUGUUUAUUAAAAACAUAGCACUCUGCAAACACGAAAGUGGACGUAUAGGGUGUGAUGCCUGCCCGGUGCUGGAAGGUUAAUUGAUGGGGUUAGCGUAAGCGAAGCUCUUGAUCGAAGCCCCAGUAAACGGCGGCCGUAACUAUAACGGUCCUAAGGUAGCGAAAUUCCUUGUCGGGUAAGUUCCGACCUGCACGAAUGGCAUAAUGAUGGCGGCGCUGUCUCCAGCAGAGGCUCAGUGAAAUCGAAAUCGCUGUGAAGAUGCAGUGUACCCGCGGCUAGACGGAAAGACCCCGUGAACCUUUACUGCAGCUUGACACUGAACUUUGACCUUACUUGUGUAGGAUAGGUGGGAGGCUUUGAAGCUGGAACGCUAGUUCCAGUGGAGCCGUCCUUGAAAUACCACCCUGGUAAUGUUGAGGUUCUAACUCUGUCCCGUGAUCCGGGACGAGGACCGUGUCUGGUGGGUAGUUUGACUGGGGCGGUCUCCUCCUAAAGAGUAACGGAGGAGUACGAAGGUGCGCUCAGCGUGGUCGGAAAUCACGCGUAGAGUAUAAAGGCAAAAGCGCGCUUAACUGCGAGACCCACAAGUCGAGCAGGUACGAAAGUAGGUCUUAGUGAUCCGGUGGUUCUGUAUGGAAGGGCCAUCGCUCAACGGAUAAAAGGUACUCUGGGGAUAACAGGCUGAUACCGCCCAAGAGUUCAUAUCGACGGCGGUGUUUGGCACCUCGAUGUCGGCUCAUC
rnacentral:rRNA from 1 species